rnacentral:rRNA from 1 species
ACGGAGGAUGCAAGCGUUAUCCGGAUUCAUUGGGUUUAAAGGGUGCGCAGGCGGAUUAAUAAGUCAGUGGUGAAAUCCUACGGCUCAACUGUAGAACUGCCAUUGAUACUGUUAGACUUGAGUAUAGUUGAGGUAGCCGGAAUGUGUCAUGUAGCGGUGAAAUGCUUAGAUAUGACACAGAACACCAAUCGCGAAGGCAGCUAACCUGGCAUUAACUGACGCUCAGGCACGACAGCGUGGGGAUCAAACAG